AACGAACGCUGGCGGCAUGCCUAACACAUGCAAGUCGAACGAGAUCUUCGGGUCUAGUGGCGCACGGGUGCGUAACGCGUGGGAAUCUGCCCUUUGGUUCGGAAUAACAGUUGGAAACGACUGCUAAUACCGGAUGAUGACGAAAGUCCAAAGAUUUAUCGCCAGAGGAUGAGCCCGCGUAGGGUUAGCUGGUUGGUGUGGUAAAGGCGCACCAAGGCGACGAUCCUUAGCUGGUCUGAGAGGAUGAUCAGCCACACUGGGACUGAGACACGGCCCAGACUCCUACGGGAGUCAGCAGUGGGGAAUAUUGGACAAUGGGCGAAAGCCUGAUCCAGCAAUGCCGCGUGAGUGAUGAAGGCCUUAGGGUUGUAAAGCUCUUUUACCCGGGAUGAUAAUUACAGUACCGGGAGAAUAAGCUCCGGCUAACUCCGUGCCAGCCGCCGCCGUAA
rnacentral:rRNA from 1 species